rnacentral:rRNA from 1 species
CCUACGGGAGGCUGCAGUGGGGAAUAUUGCACAAUGGGCGCAAGCCUGAUGCAGCCAUGCCGCGUGUGUGAAGAAGGCCUUCGGGUUGUAAAGCACUUUCAGCGGGGAGGAAGGCGGUGAGGUUAAUAACCUCAUCGAUUGACGUUACCCGCAGAAGGAGCACCGGCUAACUCCGUGCCAGCAGCCGCGGUAAUACGGAGGGUGCAAGCGUUAAUCGGAAUUACUGGGCGUAAAGCGCACGCAGGCGGUCUGUCAAGUCGGAUGUGAAAUCCCCGGGCUCAACCUGGGAACUGCAUUCGAAACUGGCAGGCUAGAGUCUUGCAGAGGGGGGUAGAAUUCCAGGUGUAGCGGUGAAAUGCGUAGAGAUCUGGAGGAAUACCGGUGGCGAAGGCGGCCCCCUGGACAAAGACUGACGCUCAGGUGCGAAAGCGUGGGGAGCAAACAGGAUUAGAUACCCUAGUAGUC